GCGGAGGUUGCCGAAAAUCCGGGAAAGAGUAGGCG
rnacentral:ncRNA from 1 species